AACGAACGCUGGCGGCAUGCCUAACACAUGCAAGUCGAACGAGAUCUUCGGAUCUAGUGGCGCACGGGUGCGUAACACGUGGGGAAUCUGCCCUUGGGUUCGGAAUAACUCUCCGAAAGGAGUGCUAAUACCGGAUGAUGUCGAAAGACCAAAGAUUUAUCGCCCAGGGAUGAGCCCGCGUAGGAUUAGCUAGUUGGUGAGGUAAAGGCUCACCAAGGCGACGAUCCUUAGCUGGUCUGAGAGGAUGAUCAGCCACACUGGGACUGAGACACGGCCCAGACUCCUACGGGAGGCAGCAGUGGGGAAUAUUGGACAAUGGGCGAAAGCCUGAUCCAGCAAUGCCGCGUGAGUGAUGAAGGCCUUAGGGUUGUAAAGCUCUUUUACCCGGGAUGAUAAUGACAGUACCGGGAGAAUAAGCCCCGGCUAACUCCGUGCCAGCCGCCGCCGUAAGAC
rnacentral:rRNA from 1 species